GGCUGGUGCGAAGGUAGUGAGUUAUCUCGCCUGAGUGUUCGCAGUCAGUUACGGAUUGACCUCCUUGUUCCUUGUUCUACUACUUUCCCCGCUUCUCACUACUACACUUGACUAGUCUAAA
rnacentral:Y_RNA from 1 species